ACAUUCGAUAGAGCUCUACCUUUUCUCCAUCCCAUAGUUUUACAAUGUUGCUUCAAGACAGAUCAAUUUCAACAAGUUCAUAGUGUUGAUCUGUAAGGGGUAGAGUUUCCAUUAGAGAACCUCUCCAAUGUAAAGCUCUUAAUCAACUUGGAAUAUUGCUGAAAAUGGGAGCUUUCAUAUCAUCCAAAAUGAGGAGCUUUAGCUGGCAUAUAUUUGAGGAAGCUAAAUCUCUCCAACACACCGCGGCCUUAUAAAGUUCCUUAUCAUGUAGAACGAUGCUAUGAGUUGCUUCAGUUUCCUACACAAAAAAACCAAUGAAAAUAUUAAAGAGAAAGUCUAGAGUCCAGCACUUUUAUUAAAAUUUGGCUAAUAAUUGAAACUCAAGUGUGUGUAGAGAGCAGCGUAGAGAUGGCUAGUGAAUCCAGUGCCAAUGUCUUCUCCUCUGAAACUCAAGAACACAUGAUAGGCGUAUGAAGAAGAGGCGGAUGCCAUGUGUUACAAGCACGAUUCAAGAACUGCAAGUGUGUGUAGUGCAGCAGAAGACUAAAGAGUCAUAAGAGAAAGGAAAGUGAGGGACUCGUAUAAAGCGGGAUGAGUGGCGCAUGGCUCAGAAUUCAGAUGGCAUAACAUAUCCUGACGUCAUCAUAAUCCUGAUGCAACAAAAUACUAUAACAUGUCGGCCAAGUGUUUGUUACAUUGCGUCAGAAAGAUGUCACAAAAUGCUACUAGUGGCAACCGAAAACUUAGAUGAAGCUUAAUAAUUGCAGUAAAUGAAAAACAUCAUUUAUAUGAGAAGCAUGGAAGCUCCAAAAAUUGUCCUCCUCAGAGCUCUUAUACAAAGCAAAAUACCAAUGCAAACAGAACACAAAUAACCAUAUCCAUAUGUACAA